UACGUAGGCAGCAAGCGUUGUUCGGAAUUACUGGGCGUAAAGAGUGUGUAGGCGGUGCUCUAAGUUCGGUGUGAAAUCUCCCGGCUUAACUGGGAGGGUGCGCCGGAAACUGGAGUGCUUGAGCGCGGGAGAGGAAAGCGGAAUUCCUGGUGUAGCGGUGAAAUGCGUAGAUAUCAGGAGGAACACCUGUGGUGUAGACGGCUUUCUGGACCGUAGCUGACGCUGAGACACGAAAGCGUGGGGAGCGAACAGG
rnacentral:rRNA from 1 species